AGGCAAAGCGUGCGAGGCGCGCGCCAAAAAUAUGCCGCAUUAUUCUGCUGCAUUCAUUCCGAUUCGGUUGCUCAGACAGUAAGAAUGGACUACGAAAAUAUUAAAUUUGAAUUCAGAGAAGGAAGCCGAGCGGGCUGCUCGUUACUGUUGUUUUCAUUAUUCGAGCAACAAAUUUAUGUAAAAAACAAACAAUUAAAACUAGGCGAAACCACAUAUGUGUGCCGAGUUAAAUUCUGUAAAGCCAGAGUUUAUUUAAGUUCAGACAAAUCUAGAGUUUACUCAAAUCCUGAAUAUGUUGUGCAUAGCCAUGGCCCUCAGAGUGAUGAAAUGAAAAAAAUCAGUGCUCUUAGUGAAAUAAAACUGAAGUGCGAAAAUAAUAGCAAUUUCGACACCAAAAAAGUAUUCAAUGAUGUUCUUGCUGAGAAAACAAGAGGUGAAGCGGAGAUUGAAAUAAAUUAUGACUCUGUCAAACGCACUUUGCAAAGAAAAAGACAGACAAGCAAAAAACGACUUGGAAGAAAAUGAAAAUAUAAAGCCAAAAUGUCCAAGUUGCAACCAAGAAGUCGAAGAGGCCAUACGCAAUGUUUUUAUUUAUAAUUAACUUGUGUAAGUUAAGAACGAAAAAAUUUAAGAAAACUGCUAUUAUGAUUUCUGUGUAUUUGGACUAUUGCACAUUUUUUAAUUUCAAUAAAAUUAUGUUAUAAAAGGAAA